GACGAACGCUGGCGGCGUGCUUAACACAUGCAAGUCGAACGGAAAGGCCCCUUUGGGGGUACUCGAGUGGCGAACGGGUGAGUAACACGUGAGUAACCUGCCCUUGACCUCGGGAUAACUUCAGGAAACUGGGGCUAAUACCGGAUAGGAAUCCUUGCUGCAUGGUGGGGGUUGGAAAGCUUCGGCGGUUUUGGAUGGACUCGCGGCUUAUCAGCUUGUUGGUGGGGUAGUGGCUUACCAAGGCUUUGACGGGUAGCCGGCCUGAGAGGGCGACCGGCCACAUUGGGACUGAGAUACGGCCCAGACUCCUACGGGAGGCAGCAGUGGGGAAUAUUGCACAAUGGGCGGAAGCCUGAUGCAGCAACGCCGCGUGCGGGAUGACGGCCUUCGGGUUGGAAACCGCUUUCAGCAGGGGCGAAGCUUGUGGUGACGGUACCUGCAGAAGAAGCACCGGCUAACUACGUG
rnacentral:rRNA from 1 species